rnacentral:rRNA from 1 species
GAUGAACGCUGGCGGCGUGCCUAAUACAUGCAAGUCGAGCGAACAGAUGAUGAGCUUGCUCCUCUGACGUUAGCGGCGGACGGGUGAGUAACACGUGGAUAACCUACCUAUAAGACUGGGAUAACUUCGGGAAACCGGAGCUAAUACCGGAUAAUAUAUUGAACCGCAUGGUUCAAUAGUGAAAGACGGUUUUGCUGUCACUUAUAGAUGGAUCCGCGCCGCAUUAGCUAGUUGGUAAGGUAACGGCUUACCAAGGCAACGAUGCGUAGCCGACCUGAGAGGGGGAUCGGCCACACUGGAACGGGGACACGGUCCAGACUCCUACGGGAGGCAGCAGUAGGGAAUCUUCCGCAAUGGGCGAAAGCCUGACGGAGCAACGCCGCGUGAGUGAUGACGGUCUUCGGAUCGUAAAACUCUGUUAUUAGGGAAGAACAAAUGUGUAAGUAACUAUGCACGUCUUGACGGUACCUAAUCAGAAAGCCACGGCUAACUACGUG